rnacentral:rRNA from 1 species
UUUCUCAGCUUAGUGGCGAACGGGUGAGUAACGCGUGAGUAACCUGCCCUGAAGUGGGAGACAACAGUUGGAAACGACUGCUAAUACCGCAUAAGCCCACGAUCCGGCAUCGGAUUGAGGGAAAAGGAUUUAUUCGCUUCAGGAUGGACUCGCGUCCAAUUAGCUAGUUGGUGAGGUAACGGCCCACCAAGGCGACGAUUGGUAGCCGGACUGAGAGGUUGAACGGCCACAUUGGGACUGAGACACGGCCCAGACUCCUACGGGAGGCAGCAGUGGGGGAUAUUGCACAAUGGGGGAAACCCUGAUGCAGCGACGCCGCGUGGAGGAAGAAGGUUUUCGGAUUGUAAACUCCUGUCGUUAGGGACGAUAAUGACGGUACCUAACAAGAAAGCACCGGCUAACUACGUGCCAGCAGCCGCGGUAAAACGUAGGGUGCAAGCGUUGUCCGGAAUUACUGGGUGUAAAGGGAGCGCAGGCGGACCGGCAAGUUGGAAGUGAAAACUAUGGGCUCAACCCAUAAAUUGCUUUCAAAACUGCUGGCCUUGAGUAGUGCAGAGGUAGGUGGAAUUCCCGGUGUAGCGGUGGAAUGCGUAGAUAUCGGGAGGAACACCAGUGGCGAAGGCGACCUACUGGGCACCAACUGACGCUGAGGCUC